ACUGUCAUGGUUUCAGCUGGUUAGAGCACUUCAUUCGUAAUGAAGAGGUCCGUGGUUCGAACCCGCGUGUGGGCU